rnacentral:lncRNA from 1 species
AAAACUUUAUGAGCCUAAUAUUUUUUGGGUGCAACGACUCUGUAUUAAGUUGGAUGAAAGUUGCCCAAUUAAGCUUUGACACAUUAAACUCAAUAGCAAUAGUGUGGAUCUGGUAAAGAAACCAUAAAAAAAUCAAAGCUUAUUUAAACAAUCUAGCUGUAUGACGUAUUUAGAAGAGAUGUAGAAAAGGAUAUUUUGGAUGUAGUCCAAUGGGCCUAAGUAUGGCUUGAAAUUUAUGAAUAAGGUUUUUUGCACGACUGCCAAGGUAUUCUAGGUAAUUAUCUGUUGGAUAUCAAUAAGAAGUCAUUCA